GACGAACGCUGGCGGCGCGCCUAACACAUGCAAGUCGAACGAGAGAGAGGGAGCUUGCUUCUUCAAUCGAGUGGCGAACGGGUGAGUAACGCGUGAGGAACCUGCCUCAAAGAGGGGGACAACAGUUGGAAACGACUGCUAAUACCGCAUAAGCCCACAGGUCGGCAUCGACCAGAGGGAAAAGGAGCAAUCCGCUUUGAGAUGGCCUCGCGUCCGAUUAGCUAGUUGGUGAGGUAACGGCCCACCAAGGCAACGAUCGGUAGCCGGACUGAGAGGUUGAACGGCCACAUUGGGACUGAGACACGGCCCAGACUCCUACGGGAGGCAGCAGUGGGGAAUAUUGCACAAUGGGGGAAACCCUGAUGCAGCGACGCCGCGUGGAGGAAGAAGGUCUUCGGAUUGUAAACUCCUGU
rnacentral:rRNA from 1 species